rnacentral:rRNA from 1 species
GAUGAACGCUGGCGGCGUGCCUAAUACAUGCAAGUCGAGCGAACAGACGAGGAGCUUGCUCCUCUGACGUUAGCGGCGGACGGGUGAGUAACACGUGGAUAACCUACCUAUAAGACUGGGAUAACUUCGGGAAACCGGAGCUAAUACCGGAUAAUAUAUUGAACCGCAUGGUUCAAUAGUGAAAGACGGUUUUGCUGUCACUUAUAGAUGGAUCCGCGCCGCAUUAGCUAGUUGGUAAGGUAACGGCUUACCAAGGCAACGAUGCGUAGCCGACCUGAGAGGGUGAUCGGCCACACUGGACCUGAGACACGGUCCAGACUCCUACGGGAGGCAGCAGUAGGGAAUCUUCCGCAAUGGGCGAAAGCCUGACGGAGCCACGCCGCGUGGGUGAUGAAGGUCUUCGGAUCGUAAAACUCUGUUAUUAGGGAAGAACAAAUGUGUAAGUAACUAUGCACGUCUUGACGGUACCUAAUCAGAAAGCCACGGCUAACUACGUG